UCCUUUAUUAAUGUGAUUUUGUAAAUUACUUCUACUUUUACCGCUAUUGCCGUUUUAUAUAUGUACAUAUUAAUCGAAACUCGUGCGAUUAACGCAGUUUAUCAAUUGUCGAUAUUGUGUGACUUGAUUUGAUUUUGUAAUUUUUAGAUGGCGUUUGUCGUGUGCCCGGAGCACUGCUUCGAUAAGGCGAGUGCUGCUGGCUCUAACCAUCUCACAAACGAAUUUAUUAACACGGGUAACGACUCUUUAUUCCUUAAAAAAAACAAAAAAACUGUGCGUUUGACGUUUUCACAACCGUUUGGUAAGUCAUAUAAUUAUAAUCGAUUCGAUUUCAUAGUUUUUAGACGGCGUUUGUUGUUGUAUCCCGAGCAAUGUUUCCAUAACGGCUCGGCCUAUUGGUUCUAACGGAUAACUGGAUUUAUUGCGCUGACGGUAUCCGUGGUGCCACGAUAACGAGUAAGCUAGAGAUUGAUGACGGCAGUCAUCGCUAUUGAAUUUAUUGCAAGACUGUGCUACCCCAUUGUGGUUCCAGGAUAAUGACUGAGCUAGAGAUUCAUGGCAGUCAUCGUUAUUGGAUUUAUUGCACCGACGGUAUCUGUUGUGCCACUAUAACUAAGCUAGAGAUUGAUGGCAGUCAUCGCUAUUGAAUUUAUUGCAAAGACUGUGCUACCCCAUUGUGGUUCCAGGAUAAUGACUGAGCUAGAGAUUCAUGGCAGUCAUCGUUAUUGGAUUUAUUGCACCGACUGUGCUACCAUUGUGAUGCCAGGAUAACAACACUAACCUAGAGAUUGAUUACAGUCAUCACUAUUGGAUUUAUUGCACGGGUAAUUAAUUUUCAUUUGUUAAAAAAA